AUGUCCCCGGCGAUCGCGCUUCGGCGCGCGGCCGCGUGGCUGCUCCGGGGAGCCGCCGGCGCCGGCGCGCCGAGGGCCGCGUCCUCCGCCGCGCUGCCGGGCAUGGGCGGGGCCCUGCUGUCUCCCGCGCGCGGAUUGCAGGGGAGGGACGCGGCCGGGUUCCUGGGGAUCUGGGGAGGUCCCGCGGCGGGCGGCGGCGGCGGGUCCUGGUGGUUCCGGUGCGCCGCGAGCAGCGUGCCCAGGCCGGGCCUGCUGGUGGAGCAGCUGCUCGUCGGCGGCGGGCGCUCCUUCGCCACCGGUGCCGCCCCGGAAGAGGUGUCCUUCAGCCCGGCCGCCCGUGAGGUGGAUGUCUCGCCGCCUGAGAAGUCCGUAGGCACCUCAGAUAAGACUAUGUUAGGAGAUAGGUCCUUGAAGCUUGUUUCAGGGGUAUGUUAUCUACCACAUCCGGAUAAGGAAGAAACUGGUGGUGAGGAUGCACAUUUUAUUUGGGAUGAACAGGCUAUAGGCAUAGCUGAUGGCGUUGGUGGUUGGGCAAGCUACGGUAUUGAUGCAGGUCAAUAUGCUAGAGAUAUUAUGUCUAAUGCAGUAACCGCAAUAGAAGAAGAGCCAAAAGAUUCAAUUGAUCUUACAAGGGUACUAGAGAAGGCCCAUAGUAGCACAACAGUGCCGGGUUCAUCGACCGCAUGUAUCAUUGCUUUAACAAAUCAGGGAAUACAAGCAAUUAAUCUUGGUGACAGUGGCUUUAUAGUCAUCCGAGAUGGCUGCACAUUGUGUAGGUCACCUGUACAACAACAUGAUUUCAAUUUCUCCUACCAACUUCAGAGUGGCAACUCGAGUGACUUGCCUAAUGCUGCACAGGUCUUCAAGGUACCCGUCGCGUCUGGUGAUGUAAUUGUCGCUGGAACAGAUGGGUUGUUCGAUAACUUGUACAACAACGAUAUAACAGCUGUAGUGGUCCACGCAACCAGAGCUGGCCUGGAUCCUCAAGUAACAGCCCAGAAGAUAGCGGCACUCGCACGCCAGCGGGCACAGGACAAGAACAGGCCGACGCCGUUUUCGACCGCGGCCCAAGACGCUGGGUACCGGUACUACGGCGGGAAGCUGGACGACAUCACCGUCGUGGUCUCGUACGUAACUGCCUUUGGCAACUCGUAG
rnacentral:rRNA from 1 species